UCCGCCCCGCGUAUCUUGCAACACCUCUCCCCUGUUCCGCGUCACCAGAUCAUGUUUCAUCAUUUCUCCUCAUCCACUACUUCCUCCCAGCCGAAUCUCCCAACGUCCAAUUUCUUCUUCCGCGAUGAGAUCCAGCUCCUCCCAGCCGAGAUUCUCUCGGCUUCAUGGAUUGUAUUCCAUCUCCCAGCCAAAUCCAACCUCCCAACAUUCCACACUCAUCCCAAAUUCCUCUUCCACGUCCAUGAAUAAAGCCAUAUCCUCUCCUAUGCAUAUCUUCCCAUCAUCCUCAUCCCUUCUGCAUUCCAAAAACCUCCUCCCCUUCAUCCACAUCGAGUUCAUCUUUAUUCCAUCUCCCAACCAACUUCAGUUCGCAACCGAUUGCGUCCUCUCAGUCUGAGAUCCUCCUUAUCCCACGGAUCAACCACCAGAGCUCCAUCCUCGUCCACGACAUUCACCCAGUCCGAGAAUCUCAUCUUCCAUCACCCACGGGAUAAAGCCCAAGCAUCCGGUCCCAGCUAUUCUCCCCGGUUUCGAAAUAGCAACAAUAGCAAAAAUAUCCUCCCAGCCGCAUCUCAACCGGAUCACUCACGUCUUCAUCCUCUCGCUCCCGCGUCUUCCGAGUUCCCUAGCCGUGAG
rnacentral:lncRNA from 1 species